rnacentral:tRNA from 1 species
GUCAGGAUGGCCAAGUGGUCUAAGGCACCAGACUCAACCUUUGUUUCUGGUGUCCAAAUGGAGGCAUGGGUUCAAAUGCCAAUUCUGACA